rnacentral:rRNA from 1 species
GACGAACGCUGGCGGCGUGCCUAAUACAUGCAAGUCGAACGCUUCUUUCCUCCCGAGUGCUUGCACUCAAUUGGAAAGAGGAGUGGCGGACGGGUGAGUAACACGUGGGUAACCUACCCAUCAGAGGGGGAUAACACUUGGAAACAGGUGCUAAUACCGCAUAACAGUUUAUGCCGCAUGGCAUAAGAGUGAAAGGCGCUUUCGGGUGUCGCUGAUGGAUGGACCCGCGGUGCAUUAGCUAGUUGGUGAGGUAACGGCUCACCAAGGCCACGAUGCAUAGCCGACCUGAGAGGGUGAUCGGCCACACUGGGACUGAGACACGGCCCAGACUCCUACGGGAGGCAGCAGUAGGGAAUCUUCGGUAAUGGACGAAAGUCUGACCGAGCAACGCCGCGUGAGUGAAGAAGGUUUUCGGAUCGUAAAACUCUGUUGUUAGAGAAGAACAAGGACGUUAGUAACUGAACGUCCCCUGACGGUAUCUAACCAGAAAGCCACGGCUAACUACGUG